rnacentral:rRNA from 1 species
UACGUAGGGGGCAAGCGUUGUCCGGAUUUAUUGGGCGUAAAGAGCGUGUAGGCGGCCAGACAGGUCCGUUGUGAAAACUCGAGGCUCAACCUCGAGACGCCGAUGGAAACCGUCUGGCUAGAGUCCGGAAGAGGAGAGUGGAAUUCCCGGUGUAGCGGUGGAAUGCGCAGAUAUCAGGAAGAACACCAACGGCGAAGGCAGCUCGCUGGGACGGUACUGACGCUGAGACGCGAAAAGCGUGGGGAGCGAACAGG